UACGGAGGGUGCGAGCAUUAAUCGGAUUUAUUGGGCGUGAAGGGCGCGUAGGCGGAUUGGGAAGUCAGAUGUGAAAUCCCGGGGCUUAACCUCGGAACUGCAUUUGAAACUCCCAAUCUAGAGGAUAGAUGGAGAAAAUGGAAUUCCACAAGUAGCGGUGAAAUGCGUAGAUAUGUGGAAGAACACCAGUGGCGAAAGCGAUUUUCUAAUUUAGACCUGACGCUGAUGCGCGAAAGCUAGGGGAGCAAACAGG
rnacentral:rRNA from 1 species